GGUGAGGUCUCGCGGGACUGGCCCGGGAGUGCGCUCCCGACCGGCCACGCCCCCUUCGAGGCGGGGCCUGGUGAUCCUGCCCAAAUGCUCUCCUGAGCCUUCUGUGUAGACGUUUCAAAGGCCACGUGUCCAGGGUGCAGGUGCGGAGGUCCCCACGCAUUAUGGAGAAGAUUCUCAUGGUGUUUCUGAUGCCGUCUGUCAGACUGCAUGCACUGCCUCCGUAACUGGAGCGGGUCUCAUCCCUGCCAGGAACAGUGGCCUGGCACACAGGAGACCCAUACGCUCCUGUAGGUGAAGGGCUUGUCCAGGAUUCAAAACUUAGGUCUUCUCAAGGCCGCCUCCAAGAUCCUCUGUGUAGUGGUCUGUCUUCACGCAACAUCCCGAGCGCUCACAUGAGUGACAAGGACUCAGGCGGUUCCUGGAACGAGUCCGGCUCAGGGUCACUGGUCCAUGUCUGCUCCUGCACUUUCUGUAAGGAGUUCUCACUGCUGUUCAAAAUUCCCAGAGAAAGAGGUGACGAAAGGAAGAAGAGAAAUUGAAGGGAUCCAAUUUCUACGUUGAUUUACCUUCUCAAGUGUAAAGCCAGGAAGGGUGACCUACCCUGCCAGGCAGGUCAGUAGAAAUCAGGUGAGCUGAAAGAGGGAUGAGUGAGGGCUGCUGGGUCCUCAAGGGGAUUCAGUGCCACUGAAUGAAUGAUGGAGGCCAACCCAGGAGGCCCCCAGAGCCAGGGGACAUCAAGGUGUCAGCAGCUCUCCCUGCCAGACUCCAGUAGCUUCCCUCUGAACCUACAGGGCCUUAAUAUGCCCAGGGCAAGACUUCUAAAGCCCUCAACUUUUUGUUGUUGCCGCCUCUCCCAUUGCGGAGCACAGGCUCCGGAUGCGCAGGCUCAGCGGCCAUGGCUCACGGGCCUAGCUGCUCCGCGGCAUCUGGGAUUUUCCCAGACAGGGGCAUGAACCCGUGUCCCCUGCAUCGGCAGGCGGACUCUCAACCACUGCGCCACCAGAGAAGCCCAAGCCCUCAACUUUUAUUGUACUAAAUCACAAAGACUUGCCUCUGAGGCCAAGAAAGAGGUCCUUUUGGACUUCUAGCAUCCUCACCACCAGCUGCCGGCUCCUUCUGGCCUGCUCUGCUCAGGUCUGUGCUCACACUUGCAGGGGGUUCCCCAGGUGUCAGUCCCUGCAGAACACCAGAGACCUCAUAGCUUUCUUCCCGCAUCACACCCCUUCUCAGGCCCGUGUGGCUCUGCCCCACUUCCCCACAUCUGGCUUUUGGUGGUUGGGACCAAGGCUCACAUUCCUGCCUGCUGAAACCCAGUGUGUUUUUCACGGCGUGGCGUAAAGCCCACCGCAAAGCUCGUCUGGACUCCUGUGCCUCCUCCCAGGCUGUGACGUGUGAUUCUUCACUUUAGAGCCGCCUGCUGGCUUCUUCCAGACCCCAGACCCAGGGCACAUGUGGGAGCAGCAGGCCCCCCUUGUCUUAUUGGUCAGCACCUGACACACACAGCAGGCACUCAAACAGUGAGACUGGCCUUGACUUAAGGGAACAGUCAGGGGGAAGCUUUGGUCCUGGGCAGAUGUGUGGCCUUUGGGACAAUCUCUUCUGGAACAUCUUUUCCCCAGAGGGAGGGUGCCAGGGUCUCCCUGCACUGCCAAGUACUUUGCCAGGGGAGGCCCACAGCCCACCUCACGCCAGCUUCUAUCCACCAGCAUGGUGGCCUGUGCCAGGGGUUUAUGCCUUAGGAGGGCCCUGUAGGGACUCUAGGCCCCGUGAGAGCCUUGGGCAGUCGGUACAUGGGGUGUGACCUAGACUCUGGAGGCCACCCUGGCAGGGUCAAGGGUAUAUGGUCUUGCCCCUCACUUGCUCUGUUUUUCCUGUCUCCUGUAGAUUUGGAAGGCUGGGUCCUUGUCCUCAGAGUGCUCCCUCUCCUACCCCACUUGCAUCAGGCCUUGGUUCUAAGUAGGCCCAGGGGAAGGAAACGAACUGGAGUUGAGACCUUGCAAUGUAGUUCCUGGAAAACCUCUGCCCAGGGGCUCUCCUGGUCCCCUCCCCUGCCCCUCCUGGGACCCAUUGCUUCACCUGGGUGCCCCCUGCCAACACCCUACAGACACCCAGCCCCGCUCCUCUGAUAUACUCACCCGGGUGUGUGUGUGUGAGUGUCUUACUGUUUCUGUGCUCAGUAACUGUUGAUCAAACAAA